rnacentral:rRNA from 1 species
CUUGCUCCCUGAUGUUAGCGGCGGACGGGUGAGUAACACGUGGGUAACCUGCCUGUAAGACUGGGAUAACUCCGGGAAACCGGGGCUAAUACCGGAUGGUUGUUUGAACCGCAUGGUUCAAACAUAAAAGGUGGCUUCGGCUACCACUUACAGAUGGACCCGCGGCGCAUUAGCUAGUUGGUGAGGUAACGGCUCACCAAGGCAACGAUGCGUAGCCGACCUGAGAGGGUGAUCGGCCACACUGGGACUGAAACACGGCCCAGACUCCUACGGGAGGCAGCAGUAGGGAAUCUUCCGCAAUGGACGAAAGUCUGACGGAGCAACGCCGCGUGAGUGAUGAAGGUUUUCGGAUCGUAAAGCUCUGUUGUUAGGGAAGAACAAGUACCGUUCGAAUAGGGCGGUACCUUGACGGUACCUAACCAGAAUGCCACGGCUAACUACGUGCCAGCAGCCGCGGUAAUACGUAGGUGGCAAGCGUUGUCCGGAAUUAUUGGGCGUAAAGGGCUCGCAGGCGGUUUCUUAAGUCUGAUGUGAAGCCCCCGGCUCAACCGGGGAGGGUCAUUGGAAACUGGGGAACUUGAGUGCAGAAGAGGAGAGUGGAAUUCCACGUGUAGCGGUGAAAUGCGUAGAGAUGUGGAGGAACACCAGUGGCGAAGGCGACUCUCUGGUCUGUAACUGACGCUGAGGAGCGAAAGCGUGGGGAGCGAACAGGAUUAGAUACCCUGGUAGUCCACGCCGUAAACGAUGAGUGCUAAGUGUUAGGGGGUUUCCGCCCCUUAGUGCUGCAGCUAACGCAUUAAGCACUCCGCCUGGGGAGUACGGUCGCAAGACUGAAACUCAAAGGAAUUGACGGGGGCCCGCACAAGCGGUGGAGCAUGUGGUUUAAAUUMGAAGCAACGCGAAGAACCUUACCAGGUCUUGACAUCCUCUGACAAUCCUAGAGAUAGGACGUCCCCUUCGGGGGCAGAGUGACAGGUGGUGCAUGGUUGUCGUCAGCUCGUGUCGUGAGAUGUUGGGUUAAGUCCCGCAACGAGCGCAACCCUUGAUCUUAGUUGCCAGCAUUCAGUUGGGCACUCUAAGGUGACUGCCGGUGACAAACCGGAGGAAGGUGGGGAUGACGUCAAAUCAUCAUGCCCCUUAUGACCUGGGCUACACACGUGCUACAAUGGACAGAACAAAGGGCAGCGAAACCGCGAGGUUAAGCCAAUCCCACAAAUCUGUUCUCAGUUCGGAUCGCAGUCUGCAACUCGACUGCGUGAAGCUGGAAUCGCUAGUAAUCGCGGAUCAGCAUGCCGCGGUGAAUACGUUCCCGGGCCUUGUACACACCGCCCGUCACACCACGAGAGUUUGUAACACCCGAAGUCGGUGAGGUAACCUUUAGGAGCC